rnacentral:RNase_P_RNA from 1 species
GCAGUCCAUUAGGUGAUCGCCCCGGUCCUGUAAAAAGGAACGGAGAGGAAAGUCCGGACAGUAUAGAGCGUGACAGUCGCUAACGGCGACCGGGGGCAACCCUAGGGAAAGUGCCACAGAAACGAAACUACCUGGGAGUUAAAUCCUAGGAAAAGAUGAAACGAGUGAGGUAAGAGCUCACAGUCCCGCUUGGUGACAAACGGGAGAGGUAAACCCUGUCUGCUGCAAGGAGACGACUUAUCAGAGUGGCCCACUACAGUCGUCGGUUGAACCCGCUCGAGUCCAAGAGCAAUCUUGGACCUAGAUAGAUAAUCAGCUUUAACAGAACCCGGCUUACAGAUAAUCUGGCGCU